GGCCUUGUAGCUCAGUGGAUAGAGCAUGACUUUCCUAAGGUCGGGGUCGCAGGUUCGAUCCCUGCCUAGGUCG
rfam:Chlamydomonas reinhardtii strain CC-503 cw92 mt+ CHLREscaffold_27 genomic scaffold, whole genome shotgun sequence.